AUUGGGCCCCAUGCUGGGCAUGAAGCCUACUUAAAAGUCUCAAAUAAACAUAAAAACAGUAUUUUUGUUAUAUUUUAUAAUACAUUCAAAGAUUUUCUUAAGAUAGAAAAACUGAGGGGCAGGGGGAAGUAGGGACAAAAGGAAGUGGAAAAAGACACAGUGGAGUGCUAGAUACACCCAUGACUUGCAUGGAGUAACAGCCCCAUAGUGUCGCUUUUUACAACACAAAAGGGCGGUUAUCUUUUCACAAUGAUAAGCAGAAAUGUGGGCAAAACUUCUCCUGGGAGCUCGUGAUGUUGAGGAUAAAAUUUGGGGUAGGAAUGAGAGUUCUCUUAGCUGUGGCUGAAAAUGAGGGAGAUCAUUUCCUUUGAUGUUGUAAUGUUUAACUUUGAGAACUAAGCUACUGCUCUGGAUUCAGCUCCUUCUUUAUAAUAAUGGGCAAUGACGACUGAUGAGCACAUAGAAUACGAAGAGUAAGAGAAAGCAUGGCAAGAGAAAACCAGAGUGGUGGCUUUUUAACACAUUAGGAUCAUCCAGGAAGCUGUAAACCUGUCCAGCCCAGCCCUGACCCCAAACCUCUCGAGCCGCCACGGCUGGGACCCUGGCAGCAGAUCAGGACUUAAGAGUCUACAGGUGUGGCCAAUGUGUGGCCAGUUUGAGAACACUGGUCCAAAAGAUCUGUCCCAAAAGGCUGAUAUAGGAAAGGAAAAUACACCAAAAUAACUGAAAUGAGAUUGGGGGAGGGCCACGCAAAGUCUUCUCCUGGAAGAGAGACUGAGAACAAAAGAUAGAGAUGAUUCAGGAGGUGAGAACGCAGGAGGGUGGCAGCUGAAGAUGCCGUCUCUCUGAUUCAACUUCCAAAAGCAAAGACAGAGGGGAGAACCCGGGGAUUUUGCUGGAAAGUUGAGUGUAAGAACAUCUUCCCCCUUUGCCUUAAUUAACCUUUAUUCCAAUGCAGCACUUUGAGGGCUGGGAGAAGGGUGCUAAAUCCUCCGAUUCAUUUGGUGCUGGGCCUCACACAGCAGCAGUGUAGGAGGAAUUCUCACCGGAGGGAACACUUGCUCUUAUGUAGGACUCUUAAGGUUUCCCUCCUCCAAAGAAGCCAACGGUUCUGACAAUGGACAGACCAGCCAUACAAGAACAGCCGCCUCACCAGUGGAGGUGACCAGCCAGGCCAGCAGGAAGCUGGUGAUGGUGAGUGGGUGAGGGACUCUGAGAUAAUGUGUGAUGAGAAUGAGAAAGGAAAAGAAAAUGUCAGCUUUCAAAUUCCUUCCGAGAUGGAGUCAGGAUGAGGGGUUUCUCCUUUUAUAAAUGAUCUGAAUGAAGGGAUGAAACUUCCUUUUAGAUCGAUAUUCGUACCAACAUCACUUGUUAUGGCUACACCACCCCAGGAAUCCUUAGUGUCAUGACCUCCCUCCCCACCCACUCCCAGUGGGUGUAGAAGCUCCCUGAGGGGCUAUUUCUUAUGCAGCUUUGCAGCCUUUAAGGUAUACAGUUUAGUACCUCCCCAACAUGUAGUAGAAUCUAAGUGAAAGUUGAUGGAGAAACCAAUGUGUAUGGGAAAUACCAUGGGCUAAAUUAAAUGGGUCCCCCUGAAAUGCAGUUGCCAUGUCCUGUUGCUAAGGGGCAAGCGGGGAUGCCCUUUGGGGAACCCAGGUCCAAGGGAUUUCUACUCUCCAACCUCAUUCAGAAUGGGGGCAGGGAAGAGGAGAAUGGACUAGAGAUAUCCUGGAGGUGACAUUUUAGAUCAUGACACUUGGAGACUCUCUGACAGGAAUGUGGAGGGCAAGGCAGUAAAAUGAUCUUCUCAUCCCUCAGGUCAUGGCCAACACUUUGGGGAAGCAAUUGAGGGACCACAGCACCAGGUGUCACUGCUUCCCAGAAAACUCAGUUUGUGAUCAAGUGGAUUUUAUGAUGCUGAAGUCCUUUCUGGAAGGACUUUCUGGACACUUUGAAAUUGGGUGUCCGAGUGGUCUUGAGAACUGGAUUUUUCUAUUGGUGAGAGAGCUCUUGUUUCCUCCAAAGCAGUAGGCCGUGAGUAAGCUCUUGGAACCCCCCUGAAGCCUUGGAAAACUUGCCAUCUUCUGAACAAAAGCACCUUGUACAUACCCUUAGGAAGUAGUUACAUGGAAGUUUAUGCUCAAUCUCACUUUGUUUUGCCUGCAGCAUAUAAAAAGUUUCCAGUGUGCAUCUCCCGUGCUCUGAUGUUGUGGAUUAAUCACAUUCUGAGGUAGAGCCUAGAGCCUGGCCCUGCCUGAACUUUCAGUGAGAAGAUGCAGAUAUAUUGGUCAGGACAAUUAUGGAGAUAGGUCAGGGCAUUAGAGGCUUUGGCUGCAGGCACUGGUGAUUAGGUUAGAGCCCGUUGGACAAAUGGAUUAGUGUUGGCUGAUUGGGCUCCCUUGGACAAAGGGAAAGAAAAGACUACUUUAAUCAAGACUAAGCCACAUCUCCCAGGCAGUCAGCCAUCGUCAGUGCCUAAGAAUGUUCCAGGAUGCAAGGCCUGGCUGGUGUCUGUUAGAUGGGACUCUGCACCUGCACCGGUCGGGAAUACAGUCAAAAGAUGGAAGCCUGGGAGGAAAAAAUCUAGGUCAACUUCUGUUGAUUCCCUAACAUUCUAGUUUCAUGACUUAAAAUGUACUUCUCAUUGGUCCAAAUAACUACUGGACCCCAAGUUUAUGAAUAUAAGCACAUUCAAGCAAAGUGGCUCCCAAGGAAUAUAUAGUUAGUCCAAGACUUGGACUAUAUUUGCAUUGACCUUGGCUUCUUACUUCUUUAUCAGCUCCUAGGUCUAUCUGAUUGGGUCUUGCCAUUUGUCAAUUCUGAGUAAUAAAGCUUCUAGAUGAGCUCCUGGGCUGCAGUAUGUUGAUUUUCCUGCCAUGGUUUCCUUCUCCUUGUGCCUUCUGGAAAAGAAGACCUGGUCUGAGUUCCCUGGGUGUUUCUUUGCUGGAAACAUUUGGAACCUUUGAGAAUCAGUCAAUAUUUAUUCCUUCUGGCUGGGGAAAUCAGGGAGGGCGAACUGAUCUCUGUAUUUAAGAAGAGGUAGCAUUUAGGCCAAAUUUCUCAAGUCUGAGUGCACCUGAGACUUGCAUGGGUGGGGGCGAAGGGGAUUGGCAGGGUUAAAAAUUAUUAGUACCUGGGCUCAACCUAGAUAUUUCUCAUUCAGUUGUUUGGUAUGAGGCUCAGGCCUCAACAGUGUUCCUAAAGUUCCUUGGGUGAUAUUAAUGUGUGACCAGAGUUGAGACUCCGAUUUCAGGUUCUCAGCUGAAAGGAAAUUUGUAGGUGGGUGUAGGUAUCCCAUCUCUCUGAUUAGAUUAUAAGCCCCUAGAGAGUGAGGACAAUGUCCUUUGUUUUGGCAUCUUCUCCCUCAGCGUUUAAUAGUGUGCAAUACGCACUGGGUUCUCAGUAGGUAUUUAAAUAUGAAUUCUUGGGUGCAUGGACAAAACAUUCCCGGAGAAACCUCAUCCUGUUGAGGCAGUGGCUACUAUUUUAAACACACUGCAAUCCGGAGGCCCUUUUAGGGAAGUCUGGGCCAGCUGGACCUGUCACAGUUACACUCAGCACCAACCUAAGCUGCUUAAGAAAUGUCUAGACGGAGAAAUCCUCCAGACAAUGAAAAGUAGAAGGUGUCUAGGGUAUUCUUUCUGCCUUGCCUUGUCUUGCUUUGCUUUGCUUUCUACAGGGAGGUGGGGAGGGGGAGAUGGUCAAGUAUCUGAUAAGGCAUCUCUGUUUCCCUUAUCUUAAACAUACAGUUUCUGUAACUUGCUGGAACCCAUUCUUUCAUUAUCAAGUUUUCCUUGGAAACUUAGACGAGGGGCCCCUGGAUGGCUCAGUGGGUUAUUCAUCUGACUCUUAACCACAGCUCAGGUCAUAAUCUCAGGGUCAUGAGUUCAGGCCUGCAUCAGGCUCCACACUGGGCAUGAAGCCCACUUAAAAAAAAAAAAAAAAGAAACAAGGGAAAAAUUAGACAAUAGAGUCGCUUGUCUAAGUACAUCUGGAAGGAGCCUCUGCGGUUAUCCCUUGAUACACUAUUAUGAUUCAAGUGCCUGUAGGCCUGAGCACUUCAUUCUCAUAAAGAAGGAAACUGAGAAAAGCAUGACAAAACAGAGAGGGAAGCAAGAAGAGAAAGCCAAGAGAGGGUGAGAAUGGAGUUUAGAAUGAGCCCCGGCAUAACAGCCACCUUUGCUACAUAACACAAUGGUCUAUGGAUUCUAUUUCAAAAAUCGACCUAAAAGCACAGAAGAGCAUUUUGGAUUUUCAAAAGUAGCAUACACAACAAGGAGGGAUUGCGGAUCAAUAAGAGACUAGAUGGAGCCUCACAAUUAAAUGCUUUCUAUACCGUGAAGAGCAGAUUUCUUCCGUUCCCUUUGUUCCUUUCUCUCUCUCCUCUCCUUCCCAUAAACACUCAUUGAGCUAAGAAUAAAAGCUCACAGUCUUCACAUUCCCUCAAAGAGGUCAUGAUUUCCUAGGGCAAAUAGGGCAUGCAACAGCUCUGACAAACGGUGGAACAUGAGACAUGCCCAAGCGAAGGAACGUGGGAAAGGAGGGGCUAUGCUCCCACAAAGCUGUUCCCAUUAGAAAAUGAGCCCCCAAGGCAGCCCAGCUUGGUGAACUCAGCCAAGAGAGAGUGGGCCUGGCCCAGCCCAGCUCUCAGAACGCAAGCAUGACACCCAAGAGGAAGGUCAGCGAGAUUGUCAUCUAAACCUCCUCCUGUAAAAGUGGAAACAAAGCUAAAAAAGGAGGCAGGAAAGUAUAAAUCUUCAGACAAAAAAGUGCAAACAGGGAAAAGUGGAGCAAAGGGAAAACGGGCUGAAGUGGCUAACCAAAAA